rnacentral:rRNA from 1 species
GACGAACGCUGGCGGCGUGCCUAAUACAUGCAAGUCGAACGAGAGCGACCGGUGCUUGCACUGGUCAAUCUAGUGGCGAACGGGUGAGUAACACGUGGGUAACCUGCCCAUCAGAGGGGGAUAACAUCCGGAAACGGAUGCUAAAACCGCAUAGGUCUUCGAGCCGCAUGGCUUGAAGAGGAAAAGAGGCGCAAGCUUCUGCAGAUGGAUGGACCCGCGGUGCAUUAGCUAGUUGGUGAGGUAACGGCUCACCAAGGCCGUGAUGCAUAGCCGACCUGAGAGGGUGAUCGGCCACAUUGGGACUGAGACACGGCCCAAACUCCUACGGGAGGCAGCAGUAGGGAAUCUUCCGCAAUGGACGCAAGUCUGACGGAGCAACGCCGCGUGAGUGAAGAAGGUUUUCGGAUCGUAAAACUCUGUUGUUAGAGAAGAACAAGUGCUAGAGUAACUGUUAGCGCCUUGACGGUAUCUAACCAGAAAGCCACGGCUAACUACGUG